CACCAAGAAAACGGAAAUUUCUUAGAAAAUCCCGUAUAUAACCUCGUUCCGUCACGUCUCCGUUCUCUCUCCUCUCUCUCUCGCUCUCUCCACCUGACAACUUGAUGAUCAGAAGUUUUUGACUCCCACCGAUUCGGCUCCUCCGCUCUGCCAUGGCGGUCCAGUUCAAAUUCAGAAGCUCCGUCAACUUUGAAUCCGUCGCCAUCGACGGCCGCGCCUCCAUCUCCGUUCGCGAUCUCAAAUCCAAGAUAAUUCGCCACAAGAACCUCAACCUCUGCCAAGACUCCGAACUCGUCUUCUCUGACGCCGUAACCGGUCAAGAGUACAACGACGAGAGCAUUCAAAUUCCUUGCGGUUCUAGCGUGGUAAUUAAGAGAGUUCCUGCAGGAUCAGUACAUGUGAACCAGCCUCACUUCAAUUCAUGUCAGAAUCUUCAUAGCAAGGACUCUGUGGAUGCUAAAUCACCCGCUGCACCGAAUGCUGAGACCGUUGACUUUGAUGACUUUGGGGUUGACUUGUAUCCCAUUCCUAAAGAAACCCUUUUCAGUUCUGAUUUGGAUACGGACAAGGAUAACUUCAUCUAUGAUUAUCAACCAAAUACCGAUAACGGCAUCAAAAGAUAUUCGGAGCCUGCUAUGAGACGAUGCUUGAAACUUGAAGCAAGUGGCAUUAGUGAUGCUAUUCCAGGAGUUCAUGCGCAUAGUGGAGUUGAACAAAUCAUAUUGCCGACAAAAUCAAAGCCUGAAGAAGAAGACAUGAAUGUGGAAAGGGUGGGCAGUGCGAAUGCCCUAGAUACACAGCAUGCUAAUUUGUCAUCAGAGCUGAAAUGCUCUCUAUGCAACGCAUUUUUCAAGGAGGCCGUAAUGAUACCAUGCUGCCAGCACAGUUUUUGUGAGAAAUGUAUUUCUCAAGUGUUGCGAGAGAAGACCAGAUGUCCCAUGUGUCUUUUGACCAAAUGCAGAGUAGAAGAUUUGCUGCCAAAUGUUUCUCUGAGGCAAGCAAUUGAGCAUUUCCUAGAAUCCCAAAAUUUAAUCACUGCUCCAGAUAAUGAUUGUUGCCAGUAUGCUCCAGAUGGAGAAUCUGGAAUUCAGGCCAAAGAUGUGUCUCGGGGCGGUAAUAUUUUACAAAGAGAGGCAGAGGCGCCUCAUUCUCCUGUAACAGGGACAGGUUCUAAUCAUUUAUUUGCAGAAUCUGCUUUUAACCCUCCUUUCCAAAAAGAUGGUAAACCUGCAAUCACAAAAAAGAGGCCACCUUGGGUUUCUUCAGAAGGUGGUGACAAGAGCUUCUCAGAGACUGGAAAGCACAGAAAGGGGGAACGUACCUGUUACAGGUGUGGUUCGCCAGACCAUUUCAUCAGAGACUGUCCAGUUGCUUCAAGCCCACAUCCUAUGCUUCAUGCAGGAAAUGCAAUCUUUCCAGGAGCUAUGCCAGGUUAUGUACCACCAUACUGGAAUGGGGCUUCCUCACCUCAUGCCAUGCCUUUUGGAAAUCCAUAUGGAAAUCAUGCGAUGACGGCUUUUGGCACAAAUAUGGUCCCUCCUGCUCCUUAUGCUGUUCCUGCAUACAUGCCAUCUAUGUAUAACUCAUUCCCUUCCUUUGGUGGAUAUAUGAGGAUGGGAGGUGUUGCUCCUCUUCCAGUGACUGGUGAAGACUGCCAUUUAAGUCGUUUGGAAUCCAUGGAUCUUCAUGGUUGGGUAAAGAGAAGAAAAGUUUCAAAUGAGAAUUUGAGGAGAGAACAAUCUCAUGAUGGUGAAGAUGACGAAGACCGUGAUUUAAACGAGAGACAUUACUAUAAUGGGACGGAAAAAUUACAUGACCACAGAUAUCAUAUAAACAGGGAAAUGAGCAUAAGUUACUCUGAGGAUGGCUCUACUAAAGGGUCCCAGAGGCAAUAUCGGCAUCAUAAUCACACAGAUGAAGACAGGCUUGCAGUUGAUGGUCAGCAGAAGAGUUCCCGUUUGGUGGUUGAUGGUCGAGAUCAGAAGCAGUAUCAUCGCACGGAAGGAUCAAGUUCAGAAUUAGACGAUGUGCCAAGUAGCUCCAGUUGCCACAGUGAAGAGAGACAGAAGCAUCACCAUAGAAGCUCCAGAAAGCAUAAGGAUCGAAGAGAGCAGUGUGGCAAUGAUUCCAGUCAGAGUCAUCAUCGAUAUACCAAAGACAAUAACAGAAACAGGAUCGAGCAUGAAUCCAAAAGGCAGAAUCAGAAAUAUCGCAGCCACGCAGGAUCUGGUAUCGAUCAAAGUGGUUCCAGUGAUAAGAAGUUGCAGAAAGAGAGCAGUCACAGUUCUAGACAUUCUAAGCUCAGUGGAAAGAGUAAUGUUGAUGAGCGGAGUCAUGACAGGUGGAAGAUGGUUAGUGGGUCAGAUGAAGAUUGUGGAGAAGGUUAUCAGUAUUCUAGACAGAAAAGAAAACACUAAUCGGGACUGGUUUGUGAGAUCUGAUUGACUCGGCUUUUGGACAGUAACUACUUGUAAAUAUCUGCUAACCCACCUCUUCACUUAUUCUAGCUUGGCCAUAGAGGGAGAGGCUAGCAUUCAAAAGUUUUAAGAAUAGCAGCAAUUGUUGAUGUAAUCAUAGGGCUUUAUGCUUUCCGUUCGUCCCAAAACUUACCUUCGCAGACAUGUUAAAGCCAGUGAAGCGUUGGUUUCUCGGCGUGGUAAAGACCAAUUUGUAGGUAAAGGGAUUGUACAUGCCAGAUUCCGAUGCUAAAGGUAAUGCGUUACCCGUAGUAAACUGGUUACUUUCCGAAUUUUACUAAUACGAAGUGUUUUUCUGUUUUCAGGUCAGAUAUCUUGCUUUUCUUCCCCAGGAAGAUGCAAUUGCAACCCAACAGUCCAACGCAGCAAUACUUACCAACUGUUGCAAAAUUAAGAAGCUGCAAAGAAAAAUAUUUGACAUGUAAUGCAAGUUUCCAACAAACUUAUUCGGUCGAUUAAGGGCUCGAUCGGUUAAGGGCGAUGGAUAAUACGAUGGACAAUAUCAACCAUCCCAAUAUGAAGUACCCCACCAACCUCGUCGGCCCUGGAUCCUCUGGUUCCUGCAAUAACAAGUGGUCGCAGAGAUUAUUUCGA